rnacentral:rRNA from 1 species
AUUGAACGCUAGCGGGAUGCUUUACACAUGCAAGUCGAACGGCAGCGCGGACUUCGGUCUGGCGGCGAGUGGCGAACGGGUGAGUAAUGUAUCGGAACGUGCCCAGUAGCGGGGGAUAACUACGCGAAAGCGUAGCUAAUACCGCAUACGCCCUACGGGGGAAAGCAGGGGAUCGUAAGACCUUGCACUAUUGGAGCGGCCGAUAUCGGAUCAGCUAGUUGGUGAGGUAACGGCUCACCAAGGCGACGAUCCGUAGCUGGUUUGAGAGGACGACCAGCCACACUGGGACUGAGACACGGCCCAGACUCCUACGGGAGGCAGCAGUGGGGAAUUUUGGACAAUGGGGGCAACCCUGAUCCAGCCAUCCCGCGUGUGCGAUGAAGGCCUUCGGGUUGUAAAGCACUUUUGGCAGGAAAGAAACGUCGCGGGCUAAUACCCCGUGGAACUGACGGUACCUGCAGAAUAAGCACCGGCUAACUACGUG